UCCCGUUAUGAUUGGCGAUUCUGGUGUUGGGAAAUCAUGCCUUCUUUCACGUUUUACUAGAAACGAAUUCGAUCAGGAAUCGAAGUCUAUCUACAAUUGGAGUGGAAUUUGCGACCAGAAGUUUGGAAAUCGGUGGCGAAGUUAUUAAAGCUCAGGUUUGGGAUACUGCAGGUCAAGAAAGGUGCAGAGCAAUUACAAGUGCUUAUUACAGGGGAGCAGUUGGUGCUGCUAUUCUAGUUUAUGACUUAACAAAACAAGACUAAUUACGUCAAAAGAACACAUCAUUAGAAUAUCCAGUAUCUUGGUCAUCUAAAAGAUUCAAUAUGAAUAAAUGGUCACAUGUUGGUUUGAUCUGAAAA